UAAAAACCUGUGAGCCUAAGAGUCAAUCCU
rnacentral:piRNA from 1 species